rnacentral:rRNA from 1 species
AUUUUGGACAAUGGGGGAAACACUGAUCCAGCCAUCCCGCGUGUGUGAAGAAGGUCUUCGGAUUGUAAAGCACUUUAAGCUGGGAGGAAGGGCAGUAAGUUAAUACCUUGCUGUUUUUACGUUACCGACAGAAUAAGCACCGGCUAACUUCGUGCCAGCAGCCGCGGUAAUACGAAGGGUGCAAGCGUUAAUCGGAAUUACUGGGCGUAAAGCGCGGGUAGGUGGUUUGUUAAGUUGGAAGUGAAAGCCCCGGGCUUAACCUGGGAACUGCUUUCAUAACUGCUGAGCUAGAGUACGGUAGAGGGUAGUGGAAUUUCCUGUGUAGCGGUGAAAUGCGUAGAUAUAGGAAGGAACACCAGUGGCGAAGGCGACUACCUGGACUGAUACUGACACUGAGGUGCGAAAGCGUGGGGAGCAAACAGG